CUCACGCAGCGAUACCCCGAGGAAGAGGGACAGCAGCGCUGUGGCUGACGCGGGGACAGCCCGAGGCGAGGGCGGCUGAGGGAAGGCUUGAAGGGCGUUCUCGGGAGCCGCGGGACGGUGCUUGUACUGGGCGUUGUAGGGGGCCUUGGCGAAGCACAUGGCAGCGGUGCGGUCGCAGUUGCAGAUGAACUCGGCGCAGUCCUUGUUCUUGCCUGGAGGAGAGAGGAGCGCUCAGAGCCCGCGGCUCCCUCGCCGGCCGCUGCAGUGGCUCGGGCUGGCAUUUCUGCUGCCAUGGUGUACCCAUUUCACUGCUGCCAUCGUUCUGGGGGUGCACAGGCUGCUGCCCACUAACCCCCUGCCCCGAAAGCUGUGUGUUCCAGCCAAGCCAUCUCUCUCCUUGCCCCUUCCUCCCUUCCCUGCAGCCCUAUUUUCCAACCUCUGCUCUUUACCUCUGUUCCAGAGCCCUGUAAAGUCUCCACUGUUCAUCAGAGGUGUCUGGCAGAAACUCAGAAACUCUAUAACAAUGCCAAGUUGACAUGCUGAUCUCUUGGGUACUGCCAUUAGAAGGCCUCCCAGAAAAGUACCCAAUCCCCUGAAGACUAGACAGGCUUCUCUGUAUUCUGCUGUACCAUACUUCUUCACAAACUUUGAAUUGUGGGCUAUAUAGAGAAUAUUCAUUGCAGUGCCUGUGUGAGGUGCCCUCUUUCUAACGACCAGGAAGAACUUGCAAGAACUUGCACUGUGCCUGCCUGCUGCAGCGGUGUGAGUGUAACACAGCCCUGCUCUUUCCUAAGAGAGGCUGGAGAACAUCUAGAGUGAAAUGGAAAUGAACGUACUGCUACAUGUGACCUGCCCAUUAGAGCAGGUGUGGUCGUAUAUCUUAGUGUAGGGGUUGUCCAGGAGGAAUUUGCAGGAUUCCAUUUUCAUUGCCUGCGAGUAGCAGUUAUCAUGUGUUUGGCAGCACCUGGGAAACAAGGAGAAUAAGGUUAGAAAAUACCAGAAUCACAGGCUCAACUGACCUGUAAGACACACAAAUACUUUAGAUUUGCUUUGACAAGGCUCUUGACAAUUAAAAAAAAAAAAAAAAAAACCAAAACGAUAGCCAGCAAUAAGAGGGCAGACACAAAGGACCUCAAAGGGAUACAGUUGUGCCAGCUCAUGGUCCAAGAGGUGUCUGGUAAAUACGUACUUAUGGGAGCAUUUUCACAGUUGUCUGUUGGGCACAGGGAAAGCCAAAGCCAGUGUUUACCCUACACUUCCCCUCAGUGCCUGCAGCUGACAAGCUCUCAGCCAACGCAAUCCAAGACAAAGCUGCCAGAUUUGUGUGUCUCUAAAUUGCCCAUGCCAUUUCCUAGCAUUUUGCAGCCCAACCUGUACAUGUUGGUCAAGCACCAGGCAGAGUGUGCAGAGCUGCAUCCAGGCUGCUGGCCCAGCCCUACUGCAGAGAAAAAAAAUGCAGGAAUGAGCACACUGUGCUGCCAUAGAAGAGAAGAGCUACAGUAAUUAUGUUUUAUCUUAGUAAUAAGGCAUCAAGCUGUGAUAGCGCACAUCCUUUUCCAGAAUCCAUCUGUGAAAGAAAGCUUCCUUCACAGUAGCCAGAGAGUUUUGUAGGGCAGGGCCAGCUGAGAUGAAGCUGAAGCAGGAAGGCACAAGCAAGGAAAGGGGUUUGUAAAAGCAGAGUUACGAACCUGUCGAGCUCGUCCACGGGAGUGCCGCUGCCCCCCAAGCCGCAGUAGCAGCCGUAGUCGUUGAAUUCCAGCAGCGGGUGGCUCUUGGGCAGGGUGCACUUGAUCAUCUCUCGGAACAGCCACACGGCCCGGGGCGAGACCUCGGCGCUGGCUGCGCCCGCUGGGGACAGACACACAGGGGAGGGGGGUCACAGUCAGCUUUGGGCUUACCAGCGCGAGGCCAGGGCACCUACACACCCGACAGCAGGAAAAGCAGGGCCAGGAACUUCAUUCUCGCAGCUCUUGACACCAACACCGCGGCUAAGGGAAAUGAGGCUUUAUACAACAGGCUCACCUUGACAUGGGUGUGAGAUAAACCAGCCAGUAUUUAUGUUACUAAAUGCAGACUUCUUCCAUCGGAGGCUGUGUGUGGUAGAUUGUGGUGUGACCAGCUGAAGGCCAAUUGAGUUAAAUCCAUAAAAACCUGAAAGGCAAAUAUUUGCUCUCUAGAUUUUUGCUAUUAAAUUCUUGUAGUAUUACAAUUAGAAGUCAGCCUGAAAGACUUGCAUAUUUUUAAGGGCUCUCUACUAAAAAAAUAAUAGCAGUAUGAUAGUUAAGCUGGAGGUUUCUGGCACAGUAAUAACCACCUGCCACUAAUACUUGCAUCCUUUUAUUAUGGUAUCCCACAUAUCAUUAAUCCUGUAUCUCUCCAUGGGUUCUCAUGGCAUAAUUCAGAGAAUAAGAUAGAGGUUGUCCACUCACAUCAAAUGCCCAUUUGGCAUGAGGUCAACUGAAAAAAAAAUCAAGCUAUUCUUUACUUUAAAACCACAGAGGAGAAGGAGGUACUACUAGACAAGAAACAGGAGCCAAGUGACCUAGAAAACCUUUAGGUGGCUUAAACAAGUAGUAGUAUCUGGUUUUAUGUGGCCUUAAGCAAUCUACACUGGAAAUGAACCAGGCCUAGAAGUUGCAACAUACACAGCAGACUUCAGUGACUUAGAGCAGUUUCUCUUUCUCCAGCACCAAUACAGAACCCAGUUAAGAACCUUUGGUUUUCUAUGCCGUGGGAUGAGGAGAGUUGGAAACCUUGAAAGAAGUUAAAAAGAUGGGUAAGAAAAAUCUUCCUGGAAUCAGUCAGGGAUAAGUAAAAACAGUGUGCUCAUAUUUAGAUCCCAGAGCUCUGGCAUUUUCAGGGCUAGAGGUUGGGCAUUUUCACACACUCAAGAUACGGUUCCGUUGUUACAUGGUUGUCAGGUCUGCAUUGAUAAACAAAGCACCAAAGAAACACAAAGGCCACCUUUCUGCAGCAGCCCAAUACACCAGGGUGCUCAUGCAGGAAACUUUGGGCUCACCUGCCACCAGUAGGUUCCAAAGGGUUGAUGAGGACACUUUCCUCCUCACAGGAAAACUACACCAGGCACCCACAGUACCCACUGGACGUUGACAUAUCCAUGGGACAUUUAGGGAAAGUUAGACAUGGUGCUCAACAAGCAGAUCCAUGCAGACUUUUUUCAUCUCUUCAAGCACUCCCAUUCUGGGUCUCCCCACUCAUGGGUAACCUCCAGCUGAACAGAUGCUGGGUUGAUUUAAGAUUCUCAGUGUUCUAACCGAGUAUUGAACAAACAUUAAAAUCUGAUGUAAAGGACAAUCUGUACCACAGUUAGUUCAGAAAAAAAUAAUUUUGUCUUUUGCCCACAGAUCAAUCUGCCAACUUUCCCUUCAGUAUACACUUAAGAGUUCUCUGUCUUCUCUGCUUUUAACAUUAAAAAAAAUAAUUGUUUUCUUACCUAUCAAACUUAGGAGUCUGGUUCCUUUUUCCUCUGUUCUCAGUAUCUGAUGUACUAUUGAUAUUUCCUAGAACAUUUCCAGUCAACUGGCCUUUUUAAAAUCAUAAAUCAACAAUUUCCUCCAUUUUUAGUUCAACAAAAGGAUCACAAUGUGUGAGAAAGCAAGCACAUGAGUAUUACAAGAGUGCCUCAUGAGAAAAACCCCAGCAGGGUAGAUUUUUCCACCAAUGCUAUUUUUGGUUUCCCCCAACCUGUGCUGUAUACAAAGCCACUGGUUCCUUGGUACACUUGUGAGCACAUUUCAACCUAUAACUGCGUCCAGUUUAUAGGUUUAACCCUUAAAUUAUUUUAAAGACUUUUUAAUAAGCCCUAUUGCAGAGUUCCCAAUGAUUCCACAGUUAAAAUUCUCCUUUCUCUCUUUUGUCUGUUAAGGACUUUACUUCCCAUCUCCACAUUUUACUUCCUUGGUCCAACACAGUCAAUUGAAUCCAGGGUAUGUGCCAAACCUGUAAGCACAUUAUCUCCUUUUCUGAACCUACAAAUACUUACACAAAACCUCUGUAAUGUAAAGAGAUACAAUCUCUACUAAAAGCAGAUCUGCCUCACAUUAUAAACUGGCCACUGCCAAAAUGUGGGAGCAGAACAGCAAGUCAGAGACCUGCCUGAGGCUUUUAUCCUUAAGGCAGGAUGCAGCUCCUGCCAGGUCCAGAAAUCUCCCCCACUGGAAAACCUUGCACCCCCAAAUAAUGACAGACAGGGACAGUUUUCAAAUAAUUUAUUAGGAAUUUAAAACUGAAAUCUGGAAAAAGGGUUACAGGUGUGGAGAGAACAAACACUGGAGUGUAAUAACUUACUGGCUUAAAAACACAGCUUUAUUUCUUUUAAAAAAAAUGCCCACCCUGAAACCAGAGCCCCAGCCUCCAGGCAGUGGCCAGAGAGUGACUCUCAGCCCCGCAGCAGCACAGCUGGCCCGGGAUGUCUGGAGGGGGCACGGAAGCAGCUCAGCGCACACACCAACAGGGAGGAAAGCGCUGGCUGCAGACCCAAAUUUGAAGUAUAUAGAAUAAAAAUAAACCCAAUAAAAUGCAGCUCUUCUUUAAUUAGGAAAUAUUUAAAAAAACAGACAUACAGACUCUUGUCUCAGUAACAAAAAUUAUUGCUUUGUGUUUUCAGUACUGAUCUGUUAAGUACCUUCUUACCUAAACAGAACUCUCCAAACGCAUCGCCCAGGUCAGGACAAGUUCCAGCAGACAGGGGAGAGACAGAAGAGAAAAAGGGCCCUGUGGGCACUGUGGCCCUCCCAGUCCUUUUCUAAAUGCCCAUCUCCUUUACAGGGGGUCAGUUUGGGGGAAGAGAGGGAAUGAUUUUUAAAACUUAAGAUGAAGCUUUUAUUUCCCUGGGAAAAGAGUUUGGCUGCAUCUUAAUAAAAGGCUUAAUCACCCCCCUUAACAAGGUCUUUGGUUCACUGAAAUCCAGACCCAAACCUGCCCCAUGUAUUCCUGCUGGAGGCCUCCCCUGGCAGAGUGCUGGUUGGCAGAGGCCUGGACCACAGCAGGGGAAGCCCCAGCAGGCUCUGGAGAAGGGACCAGAUCACCCCGCACAGGACAACGGACAAAUUCCCACAGUCUUCAGAACACAGAGUAAAGCAAACGGGAAGCUGCAAUUCUAUAAUUCAUAUAAUCCCUGAGAAGCCCUUAACCCGCCCCCAAAUCACCACCCUAAUGCUUUUCUCCCCUGUUAAUGAAUCCCCAUCCCAGAGCCCUGCCCUUCAGAGAACGACUGCCCACAUCUCCCCCUGGCUGACACCCUUUCCGACACCCUCGCCUCCGGAGGAGGAUCCCCUUUCCCAGGAAAUCUUGACGCAAGCGAUAAAGUUUGGAGAGUGAAUUCCUUUCAAAGUAACCAAGACAAAGGCGGCAAAGCCCUUUCCCUAAGCCAGCCCAGAGGCGGUGCUACGGAGCCCAGGGAUGGAGUCUGUACAUCAAGCAAUUGGAAGCAGCUUUAACCCGCUCAGCAAAACAGCCGAUGGCUGGUACGUUUCACCCCGCCCGCCCCCCGCCCCCCGUCCAUCUCAUCUCAUCAGAGGUCUUAAAAUCUUACAGUAAAAGGUGUACAAAAAAAGAACAAAGUCCUGUCAGGAUUCUGCUGGAGAGUAUUGCUCACGCUGCGGCACCAAGUCCAGGACCUGGAGCUGCUCCUUGGAGCCAGGCUGCAGGCAGCAGCCAGGUUCAGCUCACGAUAUUUACAUAUUAUACAGGAGGAAAAAGAAAACCCCACAUAAAACUAACCUAGAGAAAAAAAAUCUUUCAGCUGUAAGGAUAGUGUUUUUCACUUAGCAAAAUAUACAUUUGUUUUGUUCCAUAGCGAUGUCCAACGUUUUCGGAUCCUUGGAGUUUCACACUUUUCAAAGCCUCACAUUUACAAAACAGAAACAAUUAAAAACAGUUUCUUUAAAAAAAAUAGAAAUACAGCAGUUCCUCUCAGCCUUUGCUCUCUCUCUCUGUCUCUUUCUUCCCUUCAGAACUGCAUUCUUGUUACAUACCGUGCUUUAAAAACACUGACGACAACAACAACAGAGUUGAAAAUAUUCAAAACAGUUUCAAAGCCAAAUAAAAAUACUCCUCAAUGAAAACUACCUAACACAAUCACAAAGCCAAUUCAUAAAAUAUGUCUACUAGCUCGGGAAAGAGCAAACAACAAAAAGAAGG